UCUCCGUUGGUGAACCAGCGGAGGGAUCAUUACAGAGUUGCAAAACUCCCUAAACCAUCGUGAACGCUACCUAAACCGUUGCUUCGGCGGGCGGCGCCCUCGCGCGCCCCCCUGGGGCCCGCACCGCGGGCGCCCGCCGGAGGUACACCAAACUCUUGAUAUGUUAUGGCCACUCUGAGUCUCCUGUACUGAAUAAGUCAAAACUUUCAACAACGGAUCUCUUGGUUCUGGCAUCGAUGAAGAACGCAGCGAAAUGCGAUAAGUAAUGUGAAUUGCAGAAUUCAGUGAAUCAUCGAAUCUUUGAACGCACAUUGCGCCCGCCAGCAUCCUGGCGGGCAUGCCUGUUCGAGCGUCAUUUCAACCCAUCAAGCCCACGGCUUGUGUUGGGGACCUGCGGCUGCCCGCAGGCCCUGAAAACCAGUGGCGGGCUCGCUAGUCACACCGGGCGUAGUAGCAUACGACCUCGCUCAGGGCGUGCUGCGGGUUCCAGCCGUAAAACGACCUUCAGAACCCAAGGUUGACCUCGGAUCAGGUAGGAGGACCCGCUGAACUUAA
rnacentral:rRNA from 1 species